GAGGAAGUAAAAGUCGUAACAAGGUUUCCGUAGGUGAACCUGCGGAAGGAUCAUUAUCGAGAGAGGGCCCGCGCGGUCCCAGGGGGAAGGGUACUAAAGAAGUGCCGUGCUGAACAAGCACUCCCCCGACUCUUCACCCGUUGUCUACCUACCUUUGUUGCUUUGGCGGGCCCUGGAGCCUCCACUCCGCCUCCACUCCGAUGGUCGAGUGUCCGUCAGAGGUCCUUUUAAAACCGUUCAAUCCGUGCCGUCCGAAGUACGUAUGACCUAAUCAGCAAAAACUUUCAACAACGGAUCUCUUGGUUCUGGCAUCGAUGAAGAACGCAGCGAAAUGCGAUAAGUAAUGUGAAUUGCAGAAUUCAGUGAAUCAUCGAAUCUUUGAACGCACAUUGCGCCCCUCGGUAUUCCGGGGGGCAUACCUGUUCGAGCGUCAUUACACCCUUCGAGCGUAGCUUGAUGUUGGGUUCCUCGUCCCUGGGACGGACCCGAAACACAGUGACGGUCACCGGCGAGACCCUGAGCGUAGUAAAUUGACAACCACUCGCUGCAAGGGCUCGUCGUGGGAUCGAUUCAGAAUGACCACCUUCAAGAAUUGACCUCGGAUCAGGUAGGGAUACCCGCUGAACUUAAGCAUAUCAU
rnacentral:rRNA from 1 species